CAAUAGCGUAUAUUAAAGUUGUUGCAGUUAAAAAGCUCGUAGUUGGAUUUCUGGGAGGGUGCCAAUGUCCGCCGACGUGCGUGUGCAGCGGCGCCCUCUCAUCCUUCUGUUAACGCCUCUUGGCAUUCAUUUGCUGGUGGCGGGCUCAGAUAUUUUACCUUGAGAAAAUUAGAGUGUUUCAGGCAGGCUAGGCCGGAAUACAUUAGCAUGGAAUAAUGGAAUAGGACUACGGUCUCUUUGUUGGUUUGAGGGACUGCAGUAAUGAUUAAUAGGGAUAGUUGGGGGCAUUAGUAUUUAAUUGUCAGAGGUGAAAUUCUUGGAUUUAUGAAAGACUAACUACUGCGAAAGCAUUUGCCAAGGAUGUUUUCAUUAAUCAAGAACGAAAGUUAGGGGAUCGAAGACGAUCAGAUACCAU
rnacentral:rRNA from 1 species